rnacentral:rRNA from 1 species
AUGAACGCUGGCGGCGUGCCUAAUACAUGCAAGUCGAGCGAACAGACGAGGAGCUUGCUCCUCUGACGUUAGCGGCGGACGGGUGAGUAACACGUGGAUAACCUACCUAUAAGACUGGGAUAACUUCGGGAAACCGGAGCUAAUACCGGAUAAUAUAUUGAACCGCAUGGUUCAAUAGUGAAAGACGGUUUUGCUGUCACUUAUAGAUGGAUCCGCGCCGCAUUAGCUAGUUGGUAAGGUAACGGCUUACCUAGGCAACGAUGCGUAGCCGACCUGAGAGGGUGAUCGGCCACACUGGAACUGAGACACGGUCCAGACUCCUACGGGAGGCAGCAGUAGGGAAUCUUCCGCAAUGGGCGAAAGCUUGACGGAGCAACGCCGCGUGAGUGAUGAAGGUCUUCGGAUCGUAAAACUCUGUUAUUAGGGAAGAACAAAUGUGUAAGUAACUAUGCACGUCUUGACGGUACCUAAUCAGAAAGCCACGGCUAACUACGUG